UGGCUAACUCCGUGCCAGCAGCCGCGGUAAUACGGAGGGGGCUAGCGUUAUUCGGAAUUAUUGGGCGUAAAGGGCGCGUAGGCUGGUUAAUAAGUUAAAAGUGAAAUCCCGAGGCUUAACCUUGGAAUUGCUUUUAAAACUAUUAAUCUAGAGAUUGAAAGAGGAUAGAGGAAUUCCUGAUGUAGAGGUAAAAUUCGUAAAUAUUAGGAGGAACACCAGUGGCGA
rnacentral:rRNA from 1 species